rnacentral:rRNA from 1 species
GACAGAGGUGCCAAGCGUUAGGCGGAAUCACUGGGCUUAAAGCGUGUGUAGGCGGACUUGUAAGUACCUUGUGAAAUCCCACGGCUCAACCGUGGAACUGCUCGGUAUACUGCUUUUCUUGAGCCACUUAGGGGCUGUCGGAACAAACGGUGGGGCGGUGAAAUGCGUAGAUAUCGUUUGGAACGCCAACGGUGAAAACAGACAGCUGGGAGUGUGCUGACGCUGAGACACGAAAGCCAGGGGAGCGAAUGGG